rnacentral:rRNA from 1 species
UUUUUUGGGGGACCCGACUGCUAUCGGAUUGAGAUUUGGCCAUUUUAGUCGAACGUCCCCCUGUUGCGGGGGGCGUGGCGUACGGCUCAGUAACACGUAGUCAACCUGCCCUGGAGACAAGGACAACCCCGGGAAACUGGGAUUAAUCCUUGAUAGGUCAUCUCAUCUGGAAGGAGAGAUGGCUUAAAGGGGUACGCGGGCUUCUUCCGCGAAUCUGCUCCAGGAUGGGACUGCGUCCGAUCAGGCUGUUGGGCGGGGUAAUGGCCCACCAAACCUGUAACCGGUACGGGCCUUGAGAGAGGGGGCCCGGAGAUGGACACUGAGAGAAGGGUCCAGGUCCUACGGGGCGCAGCAGGCGCGAAACCUUCGCAAUGCGCGAAAGCGUGACGAGGUUAAUCCGAGUGACUCCCGCUGAGGGGGUCUUUUGUCAGCUGUAAAUAGGCAGGCGAAUAAGGGGAGGGCAAGCCUGGUGUCAGCCGCCGCGGUAAUACCAGCUCCUCGAGUGGUCGGGGCGAUUAUUGGGCCUAAAGCAUCCGUAGCCGGUUCCGUAGGUCCUCUGUUAAAUCCAACCGCUUAACGGUUGACCUGCAGAGGAUACCGCGGGACUAGGAGGCGGGAGAGGCGGACGGUACUCCGCGUGUAGGGGUAAAAUCCUUUGAUCCGCGGAAGACCACCAGUGGCGAAGGCGGUCCGCCAGAACGCGCUCGACGGUGAGGGAUGAAAGCCGGGGGAGCGAACCGGAUUAGAUACCCGGGUAGUCCCAGCCGUAAACGAUGCUAGCUAGAUGAUUCAUUCGCAAGUCGCGAAUGAAGUGUCGCAGGGAAGCCGUUAAGCCCUCCUAAUGGGGCGUACGGUCGCCNGUCUGAAAGGGGGCGCCCUAAAGAGG